AACAUGUUAGCAAUUGCCGCAUUUUAUGAUUAUGAAAUUUGGCAAAUGGAUGUCAAAACUACAUUCCUGAAUGGAUUUCUGGAAGAAGAGUUGUAUAUGAUGCAACCGGAAGGUUUUGUCGAUCCAAAGGGAGCUAACCAAGUGUGCAAGCUCCAGCGAUCCAUUUAUGGACUAGUGCAAGCCUCUCGGAGUUGGAAUAAAUGUUUUGAUAGUGUGAUCAAAGCAUAUGGUUUUAUACAGACUUUUGGAGAAGCAUGUAUUUACAAGAAAGUGAGUGUGAGCUCUGUAGCAUUUCUAAUAUUAUAUGUGGAU
rnacentral:rRNA from 1 species